GAUGAACGCUGGCGGCGUGCCUAAUACAUGCAAGUCGAGCGAACGGACCAGAAGUUUGCUUCUCUGAUGUUAGCGGCGGACGGGUGAGUAACACGUGGAUAACCUACCUAUAAGACUGGGAUAACUUCGGGAAACCGGAUCUAAUACCGGAUGAUAUUUUGAACUGCAUGGUUCAAAAGUUAAAGACGGUAUUGCUGUCACUUAUAGAUGGAUCCGCGCUGCAUUAGCUAGUUGGUAAGGUAACGGCUUACCAAGGCAACGAUGCAUAGCCGACCUGAGAGGGUGAUCGGCCACACUGGAACUGAGACACGGUCCAGACUCCUACGGGAGGCAGCAGUAGGGAAUCUUACGCAAUGGGGGAAAGCCUGACGGAGCAACGCCGCGUGAGUGAUGAAGGUCUUCGGAUCGUAAAGCUCUGUUAUUAGGAGAGAACAUAUGUGUAAGUAACUGUGCAGAUCUUGACGGUACCUAGUCAGAAAGCCACGGCUAACUACGUG
rnacentral:rRNA from 1 species